rnacentral:rRNA from 1 species
GUUUCUGUAGGGUGACCUGCGGAAGGAUCAUUA